rnacentral:rRNA from 1 species
AAGGCCUUCGGGUUGUAAACCACUGUCAGGGGAGACGUAUACCGGGCUCUCGAACAGGGGACCGGGGGUGACGGUACCCCCAAAGGAAGCACCGGCUAACUCCGUGCCAGCAGCCGCGGUAAUACGGAGGGUGCGAGCGUUGUCCGGAAUCACUGGGCGUAAAGGGCGCGUAGGCGGCCUGGUAAGUCACUUGUGAAAUCCCGGUGCUCAACGCCGGGGCCGCAGGUGAGACUGUCAGGCUAGAGCUUGGUAGAGGCGAGUGGAAUUCCCGGUGUAGCGGUGGAAUGCGUAGAUAUCGGGAAGAACACCGGUGGCGAAGGCGGCUCGCUGGGCCGAUGCUGACGCUGAGGCGCGAAAGCGUGGGGAGCAAACAGGAUUAGAUACCCUGGUAGUCCACGCCGUAAACGAUGGGUACUAGGCGUCGGGGGGAGCGACCCCCUCGGUGCCGUCGCUAACGCAGUAAGUACCCCGCCUGGGGAGUACGGCCGCAAGGCUGAAACUCAAAGGAAUUG